rnacentral:rRNA from 1 species
ACGACGCUGGCGGCGUGCCUAACACAUGCAAGUCAACUUGACUGAAGGAGCAAUCUGACAGUAGAGUGGCGCAAGGGUGCGUAACGCGUAAGUAACUUGCCCAAGGUAAGGAAUAACGUCGAGAAAUCGGCGCUAAUACCUCAUAAUGCAGCGGAUCCGCAUGGAUAUGUUGUUAAAGGUUUACCGCCUUGGGAUAGGCUUGCGUCUGAUUAGCUAGUUGGUGUGGUAACGGCACACCAAGGCUACGAUCAGUAACUGGUCUGAGAGGAUGAUCAGUCACACUGGAACUGAGACACGGUCCAGACUCCUACGGGAGGCAGCAGUGAGGAAUAUUGGGCAAUGCUCGAAAGAGUGACCCAGCAACGCCGCGUGGAGGAUGAGGGUAUUCUAUAUCGUAAACUCCUGUGAGAGCAGACGAAAGACAGAUUAUUAAUCUGGAUGACUGUAUGCUCAGAGGAAGCCCCGGCUAACUACGUG